CCAGUAUUGCAUUGCUGCUUUA
rnacentral:miRNA from 1 species